UUGAAGUGAAAAAAAUACUAAAGCCACUGCUCUCGGCGUUCGCCGCCGUUCGGUUGUUGUGGGGCGGUGAGGCCUUGGACAGAGAGGUUCAGAGCUUAUUGCUGUUGUGCGUCGUGAUCGGUUGAGUCAACAGCGACUGCUUGCCCAAUUUGUCUUACAUCGUUGCCGAUCCAUGGCUCGUGGAGGGUAGCUUGACUGACGCCCAGGGUCGUGGUAAGAUUUCUAUCUCGAAGUUUGCUUUGCCCUCCGGUUCAGGUAGUGAUGGUCGGAUCGAAGUUCUUGCGCUGGGUCGCCGGAUCUCUGCGUACCGGUGAUCUGCGCCGCCUUGGAGCUCUUUGCUCUGAGCCGCAUGGGUGUUUGGAGGAAGGAGAUGGAUCCAGGGCCGCUAAUCUGGUGAUGGACGGAUAAGAAUAGAAGUGGCAGUAGCCGUUUCAUCUCGAUCGGUGAUUCUGGGGCCGUGGCCGCUGGAUCCGUAACAGACGACUGGGAUCGCUCUUGGCAUACCGGUUCGGUCGGGGUGGCUUUGUGGCCAUCGAUCGGUGGAUGGAGGGGUGAUAUUAGAGUUCGCUUCAAUUUAAUCUGCGCCACUGAUCUUCUGAUUCGACGGCCGGUAGUGAGUGCAGGAUCUAUAAGAAGAGCGAUCUAAUCUGGGCACUUGAAAGAUAAUCCGAUGGCCCAAAUCACACCGUACCCCUUCGCCAGGGCUAUCUUUCAAAUGAGACCCCGUAAAACCCUAUAAUUUAUCCGCCGUCCUCGCGGAUGUAGUCUGAGCCUGGUAGAUUUUAUAGAAUAAACCCCUACCUUCUCUGUAUUAAUGUGCCCAGUCUAGAAGCCUGAGGAAAUUCAGAAAUUAUUUUAGAAAAUGAUUUUUAAUACAAAAACAAUACUAGAAACUUGUGAAAUUCAUAUUUAAUUCAUUUUAGCUUCAAAUUGAUUUAUUCCAGUUGCAAUAAUUUUGUUUUAAUAUUAUCUAUCACCUAGUAACUCUGUUUAGUCAUGAAAUCUAGAUCAAAAUUAUCCACUUGAUUUAUGUUAUACUAGGUAUUUAAUAACUUCAGAAAUUCAUAACUUAAUAAUCGUAACUCCGAAUUUAGUGGUUCUUGUCUCUACGAUCUCGUUAUGCAGCGAAGAAUAUUAUUAUGCAGUUUGUUCUUAUGUUUGGUGUGAUUUUAAUUUUGCUCAUACCAUGUUUGUUUGUAUUGCUAUGACUAGCAGCGAGGUUACGUGUCACCUGAAGAGCAAGUUGGUACCUGGAAUCUCAAGUCCCAGGCAAGUUGUGCCCUUGAUCACUUCUUUUUACCCAUUCAUGUUCUGAUUAAUCAUAAUGAUCUGCAUAGGUUAAUUUUGAUGGGACCCAACAAGUUACCCUAGUUUGAUUAUCUUUAUACCUUGACUCCACUAAACUUUUUGGGUAGUACCUGCUAUUGCUUUAUGUGGU
rnacentral:lncRNA from 1 species